rnacentral:rRNA from 1 species
CAGUAGCACGGGAAUACAGAGGGUGCGAGCGUUAAUCGGAUUUACUGGGCGUAAAGCGUGCGUAGGCGGCUUCUUAAGUCGGAUGUGAAAUCCCUGAGCUUAACUUAGGAAUUGCAUUCGAUACUGGGAAGCUAGAGUAUGGGAGAGGAUGGUAGAAUUCCAGGUGUAGCGGUGAAAUGCGUAGAGAUCUGGAGGAAUACCGAUGGCGAAGGCAGCCAUCUGGCCUAAUACUGACGCUGAGGUACGAAAGCGUGGGGAGCAAACAGGAUUAGAUACCCCCGUAGUCCCUGUCUCUUAUACA